CUUCACCUCAUAUUCUUUUUAAACAAUCUUGUCAAAAUUUAAAGGGGUAUGAAAAACAAUACGGGAUCCGAUAUUGUUUUUAGUAUUUACGAUCAUAGAAAGUAUUGGGUUAAUUUCGUUUCUGUUCACUCGGCGUUUAAGGUCAAAUUGUACACAGAUCAAUAGAGCUAUUAUGGCGAGAACAACAGACAUCAUAACUUGACUUGUUAACAACGGCAUACAGACGUCCAAACAAAUAUUUAUGUUAGGGAAAAUUACACAAAAUGAAAAACUGCUCUACGAGGACAUCUUUUAUAAAGAACUUAUGGUAUGUAGAUAUUCAUUAUACAUUUCAAAAGGGCUGUGUUGUCGUUCUGUAUAAUAUUAAAUGUCAAUAUACAAAUAGGAUAUAUAAUAAUUUAAUUUAAAUUCACAC
rnacentral:lncRNA from 1 species